AACCUGGUUUUAUUUCCAUAGAAGUGUUUUUACCAGUUACUUUAGUAAAUUAACAAAAUGUACGUCUCCACUCUGCAGUUCCGACUGCAAUUCGAACUUUGCCGUCUAGAAUCUAGUGUGAAUAUUAUGGAUAUUUACAACAAAUAUUUUAAUUAUCAGGUUCAUCAGCAUGGGACAAGUUGCAGAUCAACCGCCAUAUAGGAGCAAAGAAAAACAGUCCUGGCUGUCCAAGAACACUAACAGGGCCGGAACACACAACCAGUGAUAGCAGGAAAUACAACAAGCAGUGGCGUAACAACAAAAAGAACUAGAGGGAUAGAACAGGUUACCACUUCCUGCAAAGAAGAAGAAUAAAAAACAUUCCCCCCAUCUCACGUGCAGGCAGAUUAAAAAUCUUACUGUUAUCUAUAUUUUGAGACCUCAUGUGGCGUGUUUUUCUGCUUUUUAUACUUAUAAUACUAAAGAUUCUGCAGUCUUAA